rnacentral:rRNA from 1 species
UACGUAGGGAGCAAGCGUUGUCCGGAAUCAUUGGGCGUAAAGCGCGCGUAGGUGGCCUCAUAAGUCCGCUGUGAAAAGUCAAAGGCUCAACCUUUGAAAGCCGGUGGAUACUGUGAGGCUAGAGUACGGAAGAGGCGAGUGGAAUUCCUGGUGUAGCGGUGGAAUGCGCAGAUAUCAGGAGGAACACCAAUAGCGAAGGCAGCUCGCUGGGACGUUACUGACACUGAGGCGCGAAAGCGUGGGGAGCGAACAGG